CCUCUAUAGAAACAAUGUUUUGGGCAGCUGCUUGGCAACUACGAGUGAGAGCUUAAAAGUCAAGGUACUUGGCGGCCUUCUAAUCUAACCAGGGGAAUAUGCCAUUUGAGUCCGACGAUCCGCGUUUAUCUUACCCCUCCUUGCAAACGGGUCAGUCAGUGUACUGCCGUUGUCAGCUGGUUGUGGAAGCAAGUUGAAAGCAGCCCAAUGAAGAUCAAAGACUUCGUAAAUUCAGGUCGAAGUGCUGCCUACGGUGGGAGAUAUGGGGUAUUACAAUUCGGACUUUGGGAUCUUGGAAUAACGAAUCCGGGGUUGCAAGACCUUAUUAACGACGGGGAAGAUGAACUUGAAAGUAAGAAGAGAAUAGCAUGCUCUCCUGAAUAAGUGCUAGUUUGCGUACACAUCGCCCGUCGCUCUCGCUCGAAGGG
rnacentral:rRNA from 1 species